GAUGAACGCUGGCGGCGUGCUUAACACAUGCAAGUCGAACGGGAAACCUUUUAUUGAAGCUUCGGCAGAUUUAGCUGGUUUCUAGUGGCGGACGGGUGAGUAACGCGUGGGUAACCUGCCUUAUACAGGGGGAUAACAGUCAGAAAUGACUGCUAAUACCGCAUAAGCGCACAGAGCUGCAUGGCUCGGUGUGAAAAACUCCGGUGGUAUAAGAUGGACCCGCGUUGGAUUAGCUAGUUGGUGAGGUAACGGCCCACCAAGGCGACGAUCCAUAGCCGGCCUGAGAGGGUGAACGGCCACAUUGGGACUGAGACACGGCCCAGACUCCUACGGGAGGCAGCAGUGGGGAAUAUUGCACAAUGGGGGAAACCCUGAUGCAGCGACGCCGCGUGAAGGAAGAAGUAUCUCGGUAUGUAAACUUCUAUCAGCAGGGAAGAAAAUGACGGUACCUGACUAAGAAGCCCCGGC
rnacentral:rRNA from 1 species